UACGGAGAGUGCAAGCAUUAAUCGGAAUUAUUGGGCGUAAAGGGCGCGUAGGCGGAAUGAUAAGUCAGAUGUGAAAUACCAAAGCUCAACUUUGGUGCUGCAUUUGAAACUAUCAAUCUAGAGGGUUGACGGAGAAAACGGAAUUCCACGUGUAGCGGUGAAAUGCGUAGAUAUGUGGAAGAACACCAGUGGCGAAAGCGGUUUUCUAGUUUAUACCUGACGCUGAGGCGCGAGAGCAAGGGGAGCAAACAGG
rnacentral:rRNA from 1 species